rnacentral:tRNA from 1 species
ACAUUGGUGGUUCAGUGGUAGAAUUCUUGCCUCCCAUUCGGGAGAACUGGGUUUGAUCCCAGCCAGUGUA